GCCCUCGUAGCUUAAUUGGAUAAAGUAGCGGUCUUCGGAACCGCCGAUCUCCGUUCGAGUCGGAGCGAGGGCGCAA
rnacentral:tRNA from 1 species